rnacentral:misc_RNA from 1 species
AACGCAUAUUGCGCUCUCUGGUAUUCCGGAGAGCAUGCUUGUUUGAGUAUCAGUAAACACCUCAAAUCCCUCUACUUGUUGGAGGAGUUUGGACUUGAGCAAUCCCAACUUUUCGAAAGAGAAGGCGGGUUGCUUGAAAUGCAGGUGCAGCUAGAUUCUUUCUUCUGAGCUAUAAGCAUACUUAUUUAAUCCCGUCAAACGGAUUAUUACUUUUGCUGCAGCUAACAUAAAGGUUGAAGAGUCGCUAUGGCUGACUGAUGCAGGAUUUAACAUGUCGCGCAAGCGAUCUGUAAACUCGAUCUCAAAUCAAGCAAGACUACCCGCUGAACUUAA